rnacentral:rRNA from 1 species
CUUGCAACUGAUUAGCUUGUUGGUGAGGUAAUGGCUUACCAAGGCUUUUAUCAGUAGCUGGUCUGAGAGGACGACCCGCCACACUGGAACUGAGACACGGUCCAGACUCCUACGGGAGGCAGCAGUGGGGAAUUUUGGACAAUGGGCGCAAGCCUGAUCCAGCCAUACCGCGUGAGUGAAGAAGGCCUUCGGGUUGUAAAGCUCUUUCAGCCGGAAAGAAAUUGCUUCUAUUAAUACUAGGAGUAGAUGACGGUACCGGAAGAAGAAGCACCGGCUAACUACGUGCCAGCAGCCGCGGUAAUACGUAGGGUGCGAGCGUUAAUCGGAAUUACUGGGCGUAAAGCGUGCGCAGGCGGUUUGGUAAGACAGAUGUGAAAUCCCCGGGCUUAACCUGGGAACUGCAUUUGUGACUGCCAGACUAGAGUGUAGCAGAGGGGGGUAGAAUUCCACGUGUAGCAGUGAAAUGCGUAGAGAUGUGGAGGAAUACCGAUGGCGAAGGCAGCCCCCUGGGCUAACACUGACGCUCAUGCACGAAAGCGUGGGGAGCAAACAGGAUUAGAUACCCUGGUAGUCCACGCCCUAAACGAUGUCAACUAGGUGUUGGGGAAGGAGACUUCUUUAGUACCGCAGCUAACGCGUGAAGUUGACCGCCUGGGGAGUACGGUCGCAAGAUUAAAACU